GUUAUGUCUUGUUGGUGGAUGGUUCCUUUUAACAGUAUAUAGUGUCCUUCUUUAUCCCUUUUGAUUAACUUAGGUUUGAAGUUGAUUUUAUUCGAUAUGAGUAUGGCCACUCCUGCUUGCUUCCGAGGGCCAUGUGAGUGGUAUGAUUUUUCCCAACCUUUUACCUUCAGCCUGUGUAUGUCUUUUCCUAUCAUAUGAGUCUCCUGAAGGCAGCAUAUUGUUGGAUUUGUUUUUUUGAUCCAGGUUACUAGCCUAUGUCUCUUGAUUGGUGAGUUUAGGCCAUUAACAUUUAAGGUUACAAUUGAAAUAUGAUUUGUACUUCCAGUCAUGUUUAUUUAUUUAUUUAUUUUAGUUUGGCUAGUUUUUACUUUUUGGUUAUUUUCCUCCCCCUUUACUGAGAUACCUCCUGCUGUUAGUUUUGGGCACUAUUUUUCAAUUCCUCUUCUUGUAGUAUUUUGCUCAAAAUGCUUUGCAGUGCUGGUUUUCUGGCUGCGAAUUCUUUUAGCUUUUGUUUAUCGUGAAAGAUUUUAAUUUCAUUGUCAAAUCUGAAGCUUAAUUUUGCUGGAUACAGUAUUCUUGGUUGGAAUCCAUUAUUUUUCAGCGUUUGAAAUACAUUGUUCCAGGAUCUUCUCACUUUCAAAGUCUGUGAUGAAAAAUCAGUCGUUAACCUAAUUGGUUUACCCCUGAAUGUAAUCUGCCUCCUUUCUCUCAUAGCUUUUAAUAUUCU
rnacentral:lncRNA from 1 species